UCCAGACUCCUACGGGAGGCAGCAGUGGGGAAUAUUGCACAAUGGGGGAAACCCUGAUGCAGCGACGCCGCGUGAGCGAAGAAGUAUUUCGGUAUGUAAAGCUCUAUCAGCAGGGAAGAAAUUGACGGUACCUGAGUAAGAAGCUCCGGCUAAAUACGUGCCAGCAGCCGCGGUAAUACGUAUGGAGCAAGCGUUAUCCGGAUUUACUGGGUGUAAAGGGAGCGUAGGCGGCCUGCCAAGUCUGAUGUGAAAUACCGGGGCUCAACCCCGGGGCUGCAUUGGAAACUGGCAGGCUGGAGUGCCGGAGAGGUAAGCGGAAUUCCUAGUGUAGCGGUGAAAUGCGUAGAUAUUAGGAGGAACACCAGUGGCGAAGGCGGCUUACUGGACGGCAACUGACGCUGAGGCUCGAAAGCGUGGGGAGCAAACAGGAUUAGAUACCCCAGUA
rnacentral:rRNA from 1 species